ensembl:lncRNA
AUGUCUGUUCAGUUUGAGUUUGUCAGGUCUUGUCAAGGUUACAUGUGUCACCAGCCUUCCCUUGUGUUGAUUUACCUUUGUGUGGAUGGAGUAAACACUGUUCAUCUUCCUCUUCGUCUUAGGUCUGGAGCCGUGUUUGUCAGGCAUUUGUUUGCUGACAGAAGCUGUGGAGAUGUUUUCAUCAAUCACAAACUUCACCCAGCACCUUGACUCGAUCCAGUAAAUGACAGGGUCGCUCUGGUUGUUGUCUUCAGGUUGUUUUGUUCUCUCUUUCACAGGGAUGGAAGCAAACUGAACUGUUGUCUAGGUUUGUGGCAUCCGUCAUGCUGUGUGACACUGUGUCUUUUUGUCUCCUUUGCACAGAGCAUAUUGAAGACCUUCUGUUUCUAAUGGUGCUUAUAACAUGACAAAACUAAUUGAAUUUCUAUUGUGUAAAUUUGGAUUAUUGACAAAUGUCAUUUAACAAAACUGAAUAUUAUAUGGCAUUUAACAUUAGUUCUUAAUUAGAUUAUUUUUAACUUAAAUAUUAAAUAUUUUAAAUUUAACCUAACUGAAUAUUUUUAUGGCAGAGUUUUAUAGACGUAUUUUCAAACAGAAUUUUUUUUUUUUUGGUCUGAAGUCUUACACUGCAAAUAUCCAGUUUUUAAAAAUACAGCUUCAAGUUUUCAAGAAGAAGAGAAACUUCGAAACGUCAAAUUCAAUAUUCUAAAAUUCAAUAAGCAGAAAUUCAGAUCGUAGAGAAAGUAGGUCAGAGGAAAUCCACAGGGAAGAGUAGAUUAUCUUUGAAAAGUCAAACGAAGCAUUUUGGCCAAUUGGUAGUUGUCUGGCGUAAGCGUGCGGUUCAAGAUCUACCUGAUCAUGAAUCUCCCAAAGGUAGCCUACGUGAUUCUUAAACAUUUAUGAUUUAUAUACUUAUAUGUUAGGUUAGCAUUCUCCGCAUGUGAAACAUUUGUCUAAGCGGUGUCUGGUGUUUGAUUUAAAGUAUAUUUGGUGUGAAAGAGAUUAGCAUGCUACCGUGUCUACACAGGAUGCGAGCGAAAGCAAAAAAGACAGUAGAGCUCAUUGAUUAUAAUCAGUGAUAUUUCCUAUACUGGAUGCGGCGCGGUGCAACACUAGACGGAUGCGACCCAUUGCAAAGAGCUUGGACAAUGUCAGGAAUAAUGGGGAAUCCGUUUGCUGUUGGAAAUUUUGCC